rnacentral:rRNA from 1 species
ACCAUGCAGUCGACGGCAGCACAGAGGACCUUGCUCCUUGUGUGGCGAGUGGGAGACGUGUGAGGAAUACGUCAGACUCUACUUUGUCGUGGGGGAUAACCUAGGGAAGCUUACUCUAAUACCGCAAACUACCUACAGGUGAGAGCGGGAGACCUUCGGCCCUUGCCCGAUUGAAUGAGCCGAAUUCGGAUUAUCUAGUUGGCGGGGUAAAGGCCCACCAGGGACACUAUCCGUAUCUGGUCUGAGAGGAUGAUCACCCACACUGAAACUGAGACACGGUCCACACUCCUACGAGAGGCAGCUGUGGGGAAUAUUGGACAAUGGGCGCAAGCCAGAUCCACCCAUACCGCGUGGGUGAAAAGGCCUUCGGGUUGUAAAGCCCUUUUGUUGGAGGAAAGUUCCGUCUGGCUAAUACCCGGUUGGGAUGACUGUACCCAAAAAAUACGCACCGGCUAACUUCGUGCCAGCAGCCGCGGUAAUACGAGGGGUGCAAGCGUUACUCAAAAUUACUGGGCGUAAAGCGUGCGUACGUGGUCGUUUAAGUGAGUUGUGACCGCCCUGGGCUCAACCUGAGAACUGCAUUGUAUACUGCGCGACUAUAGUGUGGUAGGGGGUAGCGGAAUUCGUGGUGUAGCAGUGAAAUGCGUACAGAUCAAGAGGAAAUCCGUGGAGAACGCACCUACCUGGACCAACACUGACACUGAGGCACGAAGGCGUGAGGACCAAACAAGAUAACAUACCCUGGUAGUCCACGCACUAAACGAUGCAAACUGGGAUGGUGGGUGCAAUUUGGCACGCACUAACCAAGCUAACGCGUUAAGUUCGCGGCUGGGGGAGUACGGUCAGCAAGACUGAACUCAAAUGAAUUGACGGGGCCCGCACAGCGGUGGAGUUUUUUGAUUUAAUCGAUG